UUAGAUUUUCAAACUUGCUUAUUUUUUUUCUAGGGUUUGGUUUCUUCUAACUUGUUGUUCUGUUCUUCUUUUUUUCAGGUUUUGGAUGAUAUGCUUUUAUCAAUCGAUGACGGUGGAUUUGAUGGAAAAUCUUCUUCUCUGUGCCACGUCUUCAGGGGUUUUGUUCCUCUGACUCUCUAGUUCAGAACAGCAUCUUCACUCGUUCGUUUCGUUUCGUUUGUGGUGGUAACUGGUUUUGGAUUAUGCUUUUUAUCAAUCAACGAUGAUGGCUUUUUAAUGGACACGCUUCUUCUGUGUGCUACGUCUUCAUGGAUCGUGGAGACACCUGGAUUACUUUGUUCUGUUCUUUUUUUCAUGUUUUGGAUGAUGCUUUUAUGAAUCGAUGACGAUGGCCUUGAUGGAAACGCUUCUUCUCUAUCGUCUUCACAGUCCAGGCACUAGGAUUGCUUUGUUGAAUUGAACUUUAUCUUUUCGUCUAGAAUCAGGGUCUCUGCUACUAAGUAUGGGCUCCUCUGAUGCACAAGGCUGGUCUUGUGGUCUAUUUCAGAUCCUCGAGGCACCUGAAUUACUCUGUGGGAGUUUAACUUUUUCAGAUGUUCUUGCUGUGUACACACACAUUCCCAUGAGAGAUGCUCCUCAAAUUCUUUCCUAGACGAAUCGUGGAUAUUUUUCUCGUCUAUCAUCUGUUUAGAGAUGGACUUGAUGGAGGCAUGGAGCUAAACAAGCUUUGUUGGCGAGAUUUGUUCACUGGUAUCCGGAGACCAGCGAGAGGUGGGUGAGGGUGAGGCUGAACAGCUAGUUUCUCUGGUGAUUUUCAUUGGUUCUAAUCCUGAUGAUUUGGUGAUUGUCAUUGGAGCUACUAACAAGCCACAGGAGUUGGAUGAUGCAGUGCUUAAUUAGGAGAUUGAUGUGACAAGAGGUGGAAGACGAGUGAGUGGAAAUUUCAAAUCUGUGACACUGUAGUGGGUGAUGUCAUACCUCUCAACCUUGGCAAUCAGGUUCCUGCCGAUGUCUCUGAUUUCGUUUACAAUCCGAUGAUCAUCUCAUUCGUUCCUACUCAGUGUUUUGUUGGAAGCGAAUCAUGGAGGCUCCUCUCCACCCGCUUCUGAAUUGUCAAAACUCAUCCUCCUCCUCCUCCUACGGUUUUGGAUUAUGCGUUUAUCAAUCAAUCUAUGAUGGCUUUGACGGACACGCAUGAACUAGUAUCUGGUUUUGGAUGAUGGCUUUGGUGGACACGCUUCUUCUUCUCUGCUAACGUCUUCUAGGGUCUUUUGGAAGCAAACCAUGAUCCAAUCAUCACGUAUCAUCACGUAUUGCUAAUCCAUGCUAUUGUCUUCAAGCGCGUUCUCACAGAUCGUGGUGGUGGUCCAUGCACUCUGGGAUUGCUCUUGUUGAAUCUUAUCUCCUCGUCUUGGUAGGUUUCUUUUAAUUGCUCAUCUUCUAAUGACUCUCUGAGAUUUGCUAUUGUGAGGUAUGCUAAAGUCUGAGCUCCUCUGAUGUGGUUCAAUCAUUCAGACCAACGAGACACCGAGAUUAAUGUACUGGAGGGUUUGAAGAGAAGAAAGAAACAUUGUGAAAGUGAAUGGUUUGCGUGGUAUGCUUAAGUUUGAGCUCCUCUGAUGCACCUGGCUGGCUGGACAUGUGGUUUAAUUAUUCAGAUCGUGUGAUGGCUUUGACUGAUCCUUGUCACUCUCAUUCAAUGUUGCUCUUCCGGGUAUUGGAUGAUGCUUUGAUCGAUCAGUGAUGGCUUUGAUGGACUCCUUCUUCUGUGUGCUACGUCUUCAUUGAUCGAGGAGGCACCUGGAUUACUGACUGUGUGGGAGGUUCAAAUAGAAAACAUUGUGGGAGUUAAACUUUCAGGUGUGUACACACACAUUCAGAUGAGAGAUGCUCCACAAAUUCUUUCGUAGACGAGAGCUUGUUUUUAAGCUUUGUCCUUCGAUGCAGAUCCUCGAUGCAAUGAUGGUGGUGUGUUGGAAGUGAAUCAUGGAGGCUCCUCGGCUCUUCCUACGGUUUGAUUUUACUUGUCCUUGUGUUGUUGUUUGUAGAUUCUGGUUGCUGAUGAUCCUAUUAUGAUGAUGCAAGUGGUGUGUUGGAAGUAAAUCAUGGAGGCUCCACCCGCUUCUGACUUGUCACACCUCCUCGGCUCUUCCUACGAUCGUCGUCACAGUCCAGGGCAGGCACUAGGAUUGCUAUGUUGAAUUGAACUUUAUCUUCGCGUCUAGAAUCAGGGUCUCUGCUACUAAGUAUGGGGUCCUCUUAUGCACAAGGCUGGUCAUGUGGUUUAUUUCAGAUCCUCGAGGCACCUGGAUUACUCUGUAUGAGUUUAACUUUUUCAGAUGUUCUUGCUGUGUACACGCACAUUCAGAUGAGAGAUGCUCCACAAAUUCUUUCCUAGACGAGAGUUUGUUUUUAAGCUUUGUCCUUUACCAGCAAAACGAAGAGAUUUGUUCACUGGUAUCCGGAGACCAGAGAGAGGUAAAAAAUUCAUUUCAGGUAGGUGAGAGUGAGUAGCUAGUUCCUCUGGUGAUUGUCAUUGGGCUUGUCUCGUGUUUUGAUGCUAAUCCAUUGGGUUGGGUGAUCUGAUCUUAUGUAACCAGGGGGCAACAAUCCGGUGAUUGACAUUGAGCUACUAACAAGCCACAGGAGUUGGAAGAUGCAGAGAUUGGGGCUUGUCUCGUAUUUGAUGCUAAUCCAUUGGGUGAUCAAUCCGGUUAGAUGCCUUCAGAUGCAGAGCUCUACCGAUCUGUACCUCUUGUGGCGCUGACAUAUUUGAGGCUGCUCGUGCUUUAGCUAAUUUGGCUGCUCAUGGAGAUAGCAACAAGACCGUCAUUGAGAACACUUUGAUGAAUCACCAUGUUACCCUUCCUCCUGAUGCCGUGGGAAGAUCACUUACAUUGCUCCAACUGGUCAAUAUUCCCUUAAGGUUUUUGAGGAUACAGUGAUAGAGCUUGAAUUACAGGGGAUCAAGAAAUCUUAUUACACCAUGCUUCAG